UACGAAGGGGGCUAGCGUUGCUCGGAAUUACUGGGCGUAAAGCGCACGUAGGCGGCUUCUUAAGUCGGUGGUGAAAUCCUGGAGCUCAACUCCAGAACUGCCUUCGAUACUGGGAGCUCGAGUCCGGGAGAGGUGAGUGGAACUGCGAGUGUAGAGGUGAAAUUCGUAGAUAUUCGACAAGAACACCAGUGGCGAAGGCGGCUCACUGGCCCGGUACUGACGCUGAGGUGCGAAAGCGUGGGGAGCAAACAGG
rnacentral:rRNA from 1 species